rnacentral:rRNA from 1 species
AGAUGAGUUUCAUCCGGUAAGCGAAUGAUUAGAGGCCUUGGGGGUGCAACGCCCUCAACCUAUUCUCAAACUUUAAAUGGGUGAGAUGUAGAGCUUGCUUGAUCACACUGAAGCUCUAUGAUGACAGAAUCAGAGUGCCUAGUGGGCCACUUUUGGUAAGCAGAACUGGCGCUGUGGGAUGAACCAAACGUACGAGUUAAGGGGCCUAAACGGAUGCUAAUGUAGACACUACGAAAAGGUGUUGGUUGCUAUAGACAGCAGGGCGGUGGCCAUGGAAGUUGGAAUCCGCUAAGGAGUGUGUAACAACUCACCUGCCGAAGCAACUAGCCCUUAAAAUGGUAUGGCGCUAAAGCAUUCUCCCGAUACUCGGCCGCCGGGGCACUAGCCGGCCCAUUCGUAGAAGGGUCUCGAAGCCCCGGCGAGUAGGAGGGUCGCAGCGGUGAGCGCAGAAGGGACACGGCGCAGGCCGGCCUGGAGCCUCCGCUGGCGCAGAUCUUGGUGGUAGUAGCAAAUAAUCAUGAGAGAACCACGUUGACUGAUGUGGAGAAGGGUUCCAUGUCAACAUCAGUUGAACAUGGGUGAGUCAGGCCUAAGCCCAAGGAUAAACUUCCUGUGUCCCAGGUGUUCCGAAUGCGACAGAUCAGUCCAAUGAGCGUGGCGGUGGUGUCCAACUCGGGGCGGACACGCGCGCGCGCCGAGACGGGGCGGAAGGGGGGGCGGAGUGUAGUGCGAGUCGUCGGAGGUGCGAGCGAGCGGACCCCAGCGGUGACCGAAGGAGAAGCCCCGCCGGGCUUCUUCGGAAGGUGCGCGCUGGGCACUCGGUCGGCGCUCCGGCGGCCGCGCACGAUGCCCAACCCCCUGGAAGCCCAACAAGUGAAUAGCACGGAGAUUUGGGAUGCAGAGGCGAAAGGGAACACGGUAAUCAUUCCGUGACCUGCGGUCGGACCGGCCUGGCCUGUUCCCCUCCGGGGGAGAGGGCCAGGUCAUACGUGUGACGAGCCCUGGUAACGGGAUCUGGCUUGUGUCCACUGGCAUCUGGUCCGGGGGAGAGUUUUCUUUUCUGUUUUAGGCCCCGCGACCCCUGGAAAUCAUAUGAAGCGAGAUGGGGGUGAUGGUAUAAAGACCACGCGGUGGCCGUAGAGCGACACAGUUCUUGUGUUGUCCCGUGCACCAAUGCCAGUCCGUGAAAGAUGCAUGUGAGGUAGUCACACGGGUCGUCGUCCGGGCGGGCGCGGCUGUGUCGGGGCGGUCCGCCGUCCCGUCCGCCGCUCCGCUUUGGGGACCCCGUUUCGCCGCAGACUGUACCCAUCUCCGCAUCAGGUCUCCGAGGUUGGGAGCCUCUAGUCGAUAGAUGAAUGUGGGUAAGGAAAUCGGCAAUUCUGAUCCGA